AACGAACGCUGGCGGCAGGCCUAACACAUGCAAGUCGAGCGAGGACUUCGGUCCUAGCGGCGGACGGGUGAGUAACGCGUGGGAACGUGCCCCUUGGUACGGAAUAGCCCCGGGAAACUGGGAGUAAUACCGUAUGAGCUCUACGGAGGAAAGAUUUAUCGCCAAGGGAUCGGCCCGCGUUGGAUUAGGUAGUUGGUGGGGUAAUGGCCUACCAAGCCGACGAUCCAUAGCUGGUUUGAGAGGAUGAUCAGCCAAACUGGGACUGAGACACGGCCCAGACCCCUACGGGAGGCAGCAGUGGGGAAUCUUAGACAAUGGGCGCAAGCCUGAUCUAGCCAUGCCGCGUGAGCGAUGAAGGCCUUAGGGUUGUAAAGCUCUUUCAGCUGGGAAGAUAAUGACUGUACCAGCAGAAGAAGCCCCGGCUAACUCCGUGCCAGCCGCCGCGGUAACAC
rnacentral:rRNA from 1 species